UUAGGUCCAGUCGUACAGAGAGGUUCCUAAGAUCUGGUUUCAUUCAACUCCCCUCCCCUUCCCUUAGUCAUCGCAUUCCUCCAGAAUCGACUCGCAGAGAGACACAGAGAGAGAAGAAGAAGAAUCGAAGAUGAUAUACAGAAAGUGGAGUCUGCUAACUGGCCCAACGUCUAUCGUCGGCGCGGUCGUCGGCGCCGUCGUCGUGGGACACCUUAUCUUCUCCCAAAGUGAUCCAGCCAUUAAGCCGAAGCCAAGAAACUCAGAGACACUGGCUUCAAGCAAGUAGGAAAAGAAAGUAGUAAGGGAUUUGGUUUCGGCUUUAUUUGAUGAUCUGAUCUUCAACUGGAUUGAGGGUUUCUCCAUGUAUUUUGUGUUAGUCCAAACUUUUGCAUUGGAGUUGGGCUUAAUGCUCAUCUCUCUCAAUAAGAUAUACUUCAAAUGAGUUGAUGACUUGAUAAUGCCUGCUUUUGCUUAGGCUGAUGUUCUUCAGUUUAUUGUAAUACUUAGUGGCUCUAUGACGUGGAUUGCUUGGCGGUUUAUAUCCCUCUUAUUCCUAUUAUUAUA